rnacentral:rRNA from 1 species
GACGAACGCUGGCGGCGUGCUUAACACAUGCAAGUCGAACGAAGUGGCGAUCGGGUGAGUAAUACGUGGGUAACCUGCCCUCCUUCUUGGGAUAAGCCUUGGAAACGGGGCCUAAGACCGAAUACAGGGGGAUGGGCUCGGGGCCUUUCGGCUUGUUGGUGGGGUGAUGGCCUACCAAGGCGGUGACGGGUAGCCGGCCUGAGAGGGUACACGGGAACUGUGAGACUGAGCAGCGGCCCAGGGUACUCAGGGGGGCAGAAGUUGGGAAUAUUGGACAAUGGGUGAAAGCCUCAUGCAGCGACGCCGAAUGAGGGAUGAGGGCUGUAGGGUUGUAAACCUCGUUAGGUAUCGAACGGGUAGGUGGAGAAGAAGCGCCGGCUAACUACGUGCCAGCAGCCGCGGUAAUAC